rnacentral:rRNA from 1 species
GACAGAGGUGCCAAGCGUUAGGCGGAAUCACUGGGCUUAAAGCGUGUGUAGGCGGAUUCUAAGUACCUUGUGAAAUCCCACGGCUCAACCGUGGAACUGCUUGGUAUACUGGUUAUCUUGAGCCAGCUAGGGGCUACCGGAACAAAUGGUGGAGCGGUGAAAUGCGUAGAUAAUCAUUUGGAACGCCAAUGGUGAAAACAGGUAGCUGGGGCUGUGCUGACGCUGAGACACGAAAGCCAGGGGAGCAAACGGG